AGAGAGAGACAUGCGCGCAUAUCAAUAAGCGGAGGAAAAGAAACUAACAAGGAUUCCCUUAGUAACGGCGAGUGAAGCGGGAAGAGCUCAAAUUUGAAAUCUUCAAGGUUUUACCUUGACGAAUUGUAGUUUAAAGAAGUGUUUUCUGCUGAAGUUUUGGUAAAAGUUCUUUGGAAUAGGACAUCAUAGAGGGUGAGAAUCCCGUAUUUGACCAUUAUUUUCAGCUUUGUGAUACACUUUCAAAGAGUCGGAUUGUUUGGGAAUGCAGUCCAAAAUGGGUGGUAAAUUUCAUCUAAAGCUAAAUAUUGGCGAGAGACCGAUAGCGAACAAGUACCGUGAGGGAAAGAUGAAAAGAACUUUGAAAAGAGAGUUAAACAGUACGUGAAAUUGUCAAAAGGGAAGCGUUUGACACCAGUGUUGUUUUCUCGAAAAUCAAUUAAAAAUGGCUCGAUUUUGUAUUGUUGAGACCUUAAAAGCUCACUGUACAUUUUUCGUGUCUUUUUAAUGCACUUUUCGUUUAACAAGUCAACAUCAGUUUCUUUUGUUGUAAAAGGGUCAUUGGAAGGUGGCUUUCUUUUCGGAGAAAGUGUUUAUAGCCUUUGGCCUCUGCAAUCGGAGAGAUUGAGGUCUGCAGCGUAGACUCUUCGGGGUUAGAUACAUUUGUGCUAAGUUAUAGCUUUUUAUAGACAUACUUGUUGACUAUAAUUAGUCUUGUAGCUUACUCGCUUAUGCUAUUUUACCUACGCUUAGGAUGUUGAAGAUGUAGCACAUCAU
rnacentral:rRNA from 1 species